rnacentral:rRNA from 1 species
CAGCGCGCGGUAAUACGAAGGGUGCAAGCGUUACUCGGAAUUACUGGGCGUAAAGCGUGCGUAGGUGGUGGUUUAAGUCCGUUGUGAAAGCCCUGGGCUCAACCUGGGAAUUGCAGUGGAUACUGGAUCACUAGAGUGUGGUAGAGGAUAGUGGAAUUUCCGGUGUAGCAGUGAAGUGCGUAGAGAUCGGAAGGAACAUCUGUGGCGAAGGCGACUAUCUGGGCCAACACUGACACUGAGGCACGAAAGCGUGGGGAGCAAACAGGAUUAGAUACCCCUGUAGUCCCUGUCUCUUAUACAC